AUGAGUGCCUGUCCACCCCAAAAUUUUCGUCGCUGCGCCACAUUCGACGGCUGCUUUGCCGGAUUCAUCGGGUCCGUCGGAGUCGUCAGGCGCAAUGCGAACACCGUAGGCGAGCCGCUUGCCCCGUACGCCGGGGCGGCGGCUUUUUUA
rnacentral:ncRNA from 1 species